rnacentral:rRNA from 1 species
UACGGGGGGGGCAAGCGUUGUUCGGAAUUACUGGGCGUAAAGGGCUCGUAGGCGGCCCUCUCAGUCGGAUGUGAAAUCCCCAGGCUUAACCUGGGAACGGCAUCCGAUACUGGAGGGCUUGAAUUCGGGAGAGGGAUGCAGAAUUCCAGGUGUAGCGGUGAAAUGCGUAGAUAUCUGGAGGAACACCGGUGGCGAAGGCGGCAUCCUGGACCAACACUGACGCUGAGUGAGCGAAAGCCAGGGGAGCAAACGGG